UGGGGAAUAUUGCACAAUGGAGGGAACUCUGAUGCAGCGACGCCGCGUGAACGAAGAAGGCUUUCGAGUCGUAAAGUUCUUUUAUAUGGGAAGAUAAUGACGGUACCAUAAGAAAAAGCCCCGGCUAACUACGUGCCAGCAGCCGCGGUAAUACGUAGGGGGCUAGCGUUGUCCGGAAUCACUGGGCGUAAAGGGUUCGCAGGCGGAAAUGCAAGUCAGGUGUAGAAGGCAGUAGCUUAACUACUGUAAGCAUUUGAAACUGCAUAUCUUGAGAAGAGUAGAGGUAAGUGGAAUUUUUAGUGUAGCGGUGAAAUGAGUAGAUAUUAAAAAGAAUACCGGUGGCGAAGGCGACUUACUGGGCUCAUUCUGACGCUGAGGAACGAAAGCGUGGGUAGCAAACAGG
rnacentral:rRNA from 1 species